rnacentral:tRNA from 1 species
GGGGGCGUAGCUCAGCUGGUUAGAGCACUUGCUCGACAAGCAAGGGGUCACCGGUUCGAAUCCAGUCGUCCCCACCA